rnacentral:lncRNA from 1 species
UUGCUCUCUCCACAUAUUUGCCCCCUCUGACUUAAGCAUCGGAGGGCCGGCGCCGGGGAGCCCGGCCACCGGCUUUUUUGCAGGACGGGACAGGACAGGACGCACUCUCCUCUCCGCUCUCUCACACCCCCCAGGAGGGCACAGGAGGACGCAGCCGGCCGGCGCACCGCCGUCCGCCCUCCCCGCGGCGGAGCUCCUCCUUCCCCGGCUUCGCGGCGGCC